GAUGAAGAACGUAGCGAAAUGCGAUAAGUAAUGUGAAUUGCAGAAUUCAGUGAAUCAUCGAAUCUUUGAACGCACAUUGCGCCCGCGAGUAUUCUCGCGGGCAUGUCUGUCCGAGCGUCAUUUCAACCCUCAGGGCCCGCCUGCUUGCAGGCGCGGCGCUGGUGUUGGGGAUCGGCUACCCUGCCGUCCCCCAAAUACAGUGGCGGUCUCGCUGCAGCCUCCCCUGCGUAGUAGCAACACUCGCAUGCGGAGCGCGGCGCGGCCACGCCGUAAAACCCCCGACUUUCUGAACGUUGACCUCGGAUCAGGUAGGAAUACCCGCUGAACUUAAGCAUAUCAAUAAGCGGAGGA
rnacentral:misc_RNA from 1 species